rnacentral:rRNA from 1 species
UACAGAGGUCUCAAGCGUUGUUCGGAUUCAUUGGGCGUAAAGGGUGCGUAGGCGGCGCGGUAAGUCGGGUGUGAAAUCUUGGAGCUUAACUCCGAAACUGCAUUCGAUACUGCCGUGCUUGAGGACUGGAGAGGAGACUGGAAUUUACGGUGUAGCGGUGAAAAUGCGUAGAUAUCGUAAGGAAGACCAGUGGCGAAGGCGGGUCUCUGGACAGUUCCUGACGCUGAGGCACGAAGGUCAGGGGAGCAAACGGG